ensembl:lncRNA
CCAAUAAUAAUAUUGGAAUUAACCUUGCACACUACUAAUCUUUUCUGAAUACAGCUUAGUAAUCCAACUCAAUCAUCCCCUGUAUGUUAGCCUGCUUGUCUGAAAAACACAGCUAACAUUAACCAGCUCCUUCAACACUGAUUUGUUGCUCACAAAGAAGUUGUAUUAUCAGGCCUAAUAAUCCUUUUGUGUUGUCCCUUAGUUUUGAGUUCUGAUCCAUGUUAUCUUCAUGCUUUUUAUUGACUGCUACAGUGUAAAGGUAGUAGAAGCAUUAUCCCCAACCUGGAAGGAGUAAAGUGGUGGGAAAUUAUGACUUCCAGUCAGUCAUCAUCAUAAAGCUCCGUUCAGCUGACGCCAGCCUUGAAGCCCGCGCUAGAUGCAAUCAACAUUUGAUGGCGCCGAGAGGCAGGGCAGACUUGAAGAGGCAGAGGAGGAGGCGCGGGGGAGGGG